UUAACUCAAAUUUGUAUGGAGUGGUAACGUUUGCCUACGUUUGUCGCUAGGGGCGCUGUUCCAACUGUAUAUCAAUUUGAGUUA
rnacentral:pre_miRNA from 1 species